CCUUCGGGUGGCAGCAGUGGGGAAUAUUGGGCAAUGGGCGCAAGCCUGACCCAGCAACGCCGCGUGAAGGAAGAAGGCUUUCGGGUUGUAAACCUCUUUUCUGAGGGACGAAGAAAGUGACGGUACCUCAGGAAUAACCCACGGCUAACUACGUGCCAGCAGCCGCGGUAAUACGUAGGUGGCAAGCGUUAUCCGGAUUUAAUGGGUGUAAAGGGCGUGUAGGGGGGAAAGCAAGUCAGAUGUGAAAACUCAGGGCUCAACCCUGAGCCUGCAGUUGAAACUGUUUUUCUUGAGUGCUGGAGAGGCAAGCGGAAUUCCGUGUGUAGCGGUGAAAUGCGUAGAUAUAAGGAGGAACACCAGUGGCGAAGGCGGAUUGCUGGACAGUAACUGACGCUGAGGCGCGAAAGCGUGGGGAGCAAACAGGAUUAGAUACCCGUGUAGUC
rnacentral:rRNA from 1 species